GCGUGUGUAGCGGAUCGUUAAGUGCUUGUGAAAUCCACGGCUCAACCGUGGAACUGCUGGGCAUACUGGCGAUCUUGAGCUAUCUAGGGGCGACUGGAACAGACGGUGGAGCGGUGAAAUGCGUAGAUAUCGUCUGGAACGCCAAAGGUGAAAACAGGUCGCUGGGGAUAUGCUGACGCUGAGACACGAAAGCCAGGGGAGCAAACGGGAUUAGAUACCCCGGUAGUCCUGGCCCUAAACGAUGUCCACUAGAUCGCAGCGUCACUGACGGCGUUGUGGUCGAAGCAAAAGUGAUAAGUGGACCGCCUGGGAAGUACGGUCGCAAGGCUAAAACUCAAAGGAAUUGACGGGGGCUCACACAAGCGGUGGAGCAUGUGGUUCAAUUCGAAGCAACGCGCAGAACCUUACCUGGGCUUGACAUGCUUGGAUUAUCCCCGUGAAAGCGGGGUAGGCCCUUCGGGGUACAACAAGUACAGGUGCUGCAUGGCUGUCGUCAGCUCGUGUCGUGAGAUGUCGGGUUAAGUCCCAUAACGAGCGAAACCUUUGCCCUUAGUUGCCAGCGGGUUAUGCCGGGAACUCUAAGGGGACUGCCGGUGUCAAACCGGAGGAAGGUGGAGAUGACGUCAAGUCCUCAUGGCCUUUAUGCCCAGGGCUACACACGUGCUACAAUGGCGUCGACAAAGCGAGCCGAAAACGCGAGUUUGAGGAAAUCGCAUAAAUGACGCCCCAGUUCAGAUCGGAGGCUGCAACUCGCCUCCGUGAAGUUGGAAUCGCUAGUAAUCGCGGAUCAGCUACGCCGCGGUGAAUGUGUUCCUGAGCCUUGUACACACCGCCCGUCAAGUCAUGGGAGCCGGAAAUGGCCGAAGUCGCUGCGAUACAGCGGUGCCUACGCCAGGUUCGGUGACUGGGACUAAGUCGUAACAAGGUAGC
rnacentral:rRNA from 1 species